rnacentral:rRNA from 1 species
GAUGAACGCUGGCGGCGUGCUUAACACAUGCAAGUCGAACGGAAAGGCUCCUGCUUGCAGGGGUACUCGAGUGGCGAACGGGUGAGUAACACGUGGGUGAUCUGCCCUGCACUUCGGGAUAAGCCUGGGAAACUGGGUCUAAUACCGGAUAGGACGAUGGUUUGGAUGCCAUUGUGGAAAGUUUUUCGGUGUGGGAUGAGCUCGCGGCCUAUCAGCUUGUUGGUGGGGUAAUGGCCUACCAAGGCGUCGACGGGUAGCCGGCCUGAGAGGGUGUACGGCCACAUUGGGACUGAGAUACGGCCCAGACUCCUACGGGAGGCAGCAGUGGGGAAUAUUGCGCAAUGGGCGCAAGCCUGAUGCAGCGACGCCGCGUGGGGGAUGACGGCCUUCGGGUUGUAAACUCCUUUCGCUAGGGACGAAGCGCAAGUGACGGUACCUGGAGAAGAAGCACUGGCUAACUACGUG